rnacentral:misc_RNA from 1 species
GAUGAAGAACGUAGCGAAAUGCGAUACUUGGUGUGAAUUGCAGAAUCCCGUGAACCAUCGAGUCUUUGAACGCAAGUUGCGCCCGAGGCCAUUAGGCCGAGGGCACGCCUGCCUGGGCGUCACACGUCGUUGCCCCCCCAUCUACUCCUUCGGGAUUGCGGGGGGCGGAUGAUGGCCUCCCGUGCGCCUCGUCGCGCGGUUGGCAUAAAUGCCAAGUCCUCGGCGACGCACGCCACGACAAUCGGUGGUUGCGAAACCUCGGUUGCCCGUCGUGUGCGGUCGUCGCGCAUCGAGGGCUCGAAAAAAUUGUCGGGCUCCGGCUCGGCUUUCAACGCGACCCCAGGUCAGGCGGGGUUACCCGCUGAAUUUAAGCAUAUCAAUAAGCGGAGGA